rnacentral:lncRNA from 1 species
AUACAUAUAUACUCUCACAGGGAUAUACGGGGAAUUUGGAAUUUUCCAUUUCGAGAAGAGAGGUAUACACACAUUCACUGACUGGAGGGGGUGGGGCUUUUUCUUCUUCAGAGGGACACACGAAAAACAGAGGGGACAACGAACAAGGGUGGAGCUCCAUUUUUGUUUCCAUUGGACAACACACAGAAUACUCUAAAGAAAAAAAAAGGUCUUCACCAUGGAUUGAACAUAGACCCACUCACGAAGCUCUCACCACCCAUCAACACAUACGGGUUUCAUCGGAGAAACGCUUCACACACUGCACGGAAAAGAAACAGAGAGGUGAUUAGAGAGAAUCAAAAGGGGAAAGAGAUUGAGAGGGAGAGAGUAAAAACAGUGAGAACGAGAAGAAAAAGGGGUGGUUGUCGUUCUGGUUUAGAUUUGUGACUAGAAACAGAAGGGAAGUAUAUCGAAGUUGAGAUUUGAUCGUCGUUGAGGUUCUUUGGUUCGCGAGCUCCGAUUGAUCGCAAGUUGUUCAGAAUAAAGUCAUCAAUUGAGGUGCAACUCUAUUCUUUUCCUCUUUUCUUUCAAUGUUUAUGAUAUUUCGUGUCUCGAAUUGAAUAUCUAUGUGUUGUUUGAUCUUCGUUGGUGGUGAAUAAUUGCUUGUGUUGAUUGACUGUUGAUUUCUUUUGUUACGAAUUGUGUGUAAUGUAAAUGACGAAUAUUGAGUUUACGAGAUUAUGGAUUGUUGGAAAUAGUAGCUGAAUUGUUACGUUUGAAUUUUGAUUUAAAAUUAGAUUGGGAUCGGGAUCGAAAAUUGAUAAAAAGCAAUGUAAAUUAGUCUUGAUUUAUUGUUGUUGGUUUAUUUCAAAACAAUUAUUGGUGUUAAACGUGAUAGUAUCGUGUUUUAGGCUGAGCAUCGUUAGGCAAAGAGUAGGUUCGUGUAGUCAAAAUUAGGACUUGUGAUUUUUGAAUGAUAAAAAUGUUCGUUGAAUGGUUUUGAUUGAUGCUUUUUGGAUCAAAUUUAUCAUUUGGCCGGGGAAUGUCUCGAGGUAUUUGUGUUUAUUCAAUGGGUAAUGCCUCGAAGUAUUUUAUACCCGGAAGACGUUCGUGACAAAGAUCCAAGGCGUCGGGUGGAACUUAGUCUAGGACUAAUUUAGAAUAGAAUUUAUAUUUUUCGCAUUUUUCUAUUUUAGACUGUAUAAUUGAACUGGACAUUAUUAUUUUGGUUUUGGAUUUUUGUUUGAUGUGUUUGUUUGCGCCUUUUAUGUGUUUUUGUGGGUUUAUAUAUUUAGUGUCGUAUUAGCCGAUACACUUCACCAAGCAACCGUGGUCGAACCACGAAAUUGAGGAGUGCGUAAUACCUUUCUCUCGGUCAACAGAUUCUUAAUCGGAAUCUCUGCUCGCAAAUCAGUUUAAAGAGUCAAAUCAUUUUGAAAAGGAUUUUUCAUAGGUGACUUGGCACACCAGAUUAUGCCACGUGGAAAUUCUGAAUUUUUGAAUAUAAAUAAUUUUUUUUUUCAAAAUAAAUCUUUAUUUUAUCACUUUAAUAAUAAAAUCUUUUUCAAACUUUAAAAUAUAUUUUUUGGUUUAAAAAUGGGAGUGACUGAGAACCCAUCAUUUAUAUGUAAAAAGAAUUCAAUGAUCCAAAAGCAUUAUGAGACUUUGAUAGAUACAUGUGAAUGCAUGGAAUGCAGAUUUAGUGAAUAAGGAUCUAAGCUUUGUAACGAAACACCAAUCAAAGCACUUUAUUUCAUUCAAAUGGACAAUAUGAUCCACGUCACUCCAAUCAAAACUCAUGCUCCCUAUUUCAUAAUAAAUGAAUUGUUGAAUUUUGAUAUACAAAUUAAGAAAAAAACAAUAAAAACAUAAAUUUAAUACAACUUUUCAUUUUUACCCUUCAAAAAGCAAAAAUUGACCUUUAAUACCUUUUCGAAAAUUAAUUGAUUGUCAAAUCAUAAGGGUAACUUUAGAAAAAAAUUUAAUGAUUCACUUAUUUUGAAACACCAAUAAAUACCCCAACAAUUUAUUUAUUUCGAAACGGAGAGAGUAUUAACGUAAUAAAAACUUGAACGAAAACAUACAAUAUGAUCUUGUUAGAAGACAACUUUAAUUUAGUAAAAGCAUUGUCUCUACUUACCUUGAAUUCUUCUCUUCAACUGUUACUCACUCCAAAUCACUCAAUGAUCACCCAAACAUUUAGAAUCUAUAGUUAAUUAAAUCACCAAAUAUUAACGACGAGGCGUAACAUUAAUGAUAUUUGUUAGUUCUCUUAAACGGAGUUUGGAGCCUAAAGGACAAGUUUUUUUAUCAAAAAUUUCAAAGGGGCAUAUCAAAAUUGAAAAAUACCAAAACGAACAAGGUAAACACAGGUGAUUACCUUGUCCAGUAAAAGUUAACGUUGUUUGGUUACAUGCUAAAGUGCAAGGUAAAUGGAUCCGCUUACCUUAUCUUACCUUAUUUGUUAAUGGAAGAUUGACUGAAAAAUGUAAGGUAAAUAGAGUCACUUACCCAAUCCUUUGACUGAAAAAAGAAAAGGGGUGUCUGCAAGAUGGGACUUACUGCUGACAAGGGAUUUUGCUGGCUGAUUAUAAGUCGUCUCACCUUGUAAGGUAGGAUUUCAUGUUCACUUUGUAAGGUAGGAUCCCAUAUUUGCCUUGAAACAAUUUCAAAUUUUACGGUGCUAUAUAAAGAGUAUAACAAUUUUUUUCAUUUGCAUCAACUAAAAAAAAUUGUCAAAGUUCAUAAUUUAUUCAUUCCUUAUUAAUUUCUUAUUUAAGAUGGAUGAUAAUAAGUUAAGAGUAAAUUUACAUCGAGGUGGUGAAGUCUUGCAUGAUGGGAAUUCGGUUCAAUAUAGUCAGCGUCAUAUAGUGAUUCAGUCGUUUUCUUUAUCUCUCAAGUAUGAUCAUUUGAAAAGGUUAUUUAGCAGUAAAAUGAUAUUACUAAUCCGAAAGAUAAUUAGUUAUUUCUGCUCGAUAUCCAAAUUAUUUUACGUCCAAUGCACAACUAAUAUUUGUUGAAACUCCUAUUUGAAACGAACAACUAAUAUAUUGCCAAAAAUCAUUAUCAUCACGCCGCACUACCAAACAUAUCUUUUCUCCCUUUAAUGUGCCUCUCCAAAUAGUCUUGGACUGAUGGUUACUUUGCAUGGCAUAUAUAUUAUACUGUGAUUAUUCUGGAUAAACAAACUGUUGAUAUUCCAUAUCAGAAAGAAAAUUAAAAUUAGUUUUGAUAUGUAUUUUAUGAACAUUUAUGUCAAGUUAAGGGUGUUAAGUGGGUCGGAUCAACCCUAAAUUGGCUCGUUAAGUUUAGCCAGGUUGUGGACCG